GGCCUCAACGACGAGAAGCAAUAACCCAAAAUUAUCAAGUCCGAUCCACCCUCGAGUCGCGAUGUCGAAGAAAACGAAAAAAAAGGAUGAAACGAUGUGGACGUCGACGACUGGACUACCCAGCUGGAAGCAGUCACCGGUCGAUUUGAGCCCGAUGUACACGCUGCACCAAAACUUUCCACCGCUCGUACUCCAGGGACACCUAUCCUCCAAAUCUUGCGCCAAGAUGACCAACACUGGAAACACGGUGAAAAUCGAGUUCCCCGAGGGCCGAGAACCAAUAGUCAGAGGUGGGCCAUUGCAGUCGGACGAGUAUCGAUUCGGCGAGCUGCAAUUUCGAUGGGGUCCGAGCGACGCACGAGGUGCCGAACACUCCGUCGACGGCGUGUGGUUUUCCAUGGAAGCCCAAGCGGUGCACUGGAAUACGAGCUACGGUUCUCCGGACAAGUGCUACGAGAGAGACGACGGCAUUGCUGUUGUUGCGUUUUUAUUCCAGGUGAUCGGCUGUCAGGGUAUGGUCGACAAUCCGGAUUUCGCUUGCAUCGCCGACAACUUGUCCCGAAUUAAAAUUCCAGAUCGAAGCGUUGAAUUGCCACCAGGUUGUCUGAACUGGAUGGCCGAUGCGUGUUCAAAGCCAGGCUAUUACACUUACAACGGAUCCCUAAGCACACCUCCGUACACGGAGUGCGUCACUUGGAUCGUCAUACCGCGCUCGGUUAAAAUUUCGGCGAGACAGGCAAAUGCUUUCAGGGAUAUUUAUAACAGCCAGGGCGAGCGGAUCCUUCGUAACUUUAGAUCGCAGCAGAAAAUUCACGAGAGGAAAGUUUACCUCGCUACCGAAUAUUGAUUGCCGUAUGUUUUUUCCGUCUUUUGUUUGUGCUGGUGUAAAAUGAAAAAAAGCUUUGCCUAACCUUAUAGUCGGAAUAGUCGAGCAAAAUUCAAGAGUUAGGGAAUACGAAAUCCAAAGUGGUCGUGGUUCGAAAUUCAUCCAAUAAUAAAAACUUUGUAGUAUCGCACAAUGGCAACGGAGAAUCAACUGAAAACUUUGUCGAGAAAAAGACAAUCGCCAAUCGACCUUCGUGACGACGUCGCGCGACUGAAAUAUUUGCCGCCUCUGACAUUGAUCGGGCAUUGGCUGAACGACGGAGAAGCGACUUUAACGAACAACGGGGAUCACGCCGUGAUAGAGCUGAGUGGAGAGCGAAUUCCGUCGAUCGUAAAGUGCGGCCCUUUAAACGACGAGUACGAGUUUCACAAUGCUCACUUUCACUGGGCCGAGGAUGACUGUUGCGGCUCCGAACACACAAUCAACUCCACCUGGUUCUCAAUGGAGGCGCACGUGGUGCAUUGGAAUCGAAAGUAUCGGACUUUCGACGAGUGUUUGAAACACGCGGACGGACUCUGCAUACUGGCCUAUUUAUUUAUGGUGAAGGACGGGAAGUAUUGCCGAAGCCAUUCUAUGCUCGAGAAAAUCACCGAUAAUUUGGAGGACGUCGUCAGCUUCGGAGCGACAACCAAGAUUCCCGCUAAUUCUCUGUGCUGGAUGCGAGAGGCGGUUCGCUGCGACUACUAUUACUUCUAUCAUGGCUCCUACAACAAGGGCGAUUUUCCCGAGUGCGCUCUCUGGAUCGUGUUUCCCAACGUUAUGUCGAUUCGCUCGGAUCAGGUGGCCGAGUUUCGGAAAUUACAAGAUGCGAAAGGCAGAGAAAUCAAAUCGAACGGACGCAAACUUCAACUUCUUGGAGACCGAAGGAUUUACAAAGUGUUUCCCUGCUGCGAAUGAAAUUCAAAUGGUCUUUGGUGUAUCGCUAAUUUGGAAGAAAUAAAAAAGAUGCGCACAGAGA